rnacentral:rRNA from 1 species
UCGAGCGGUAGCACAGAGAGCUUGCUCUCGGGUGACGAGCGGCGGACGGGUGAGUAAUGUCUGGGAAACUGCCUGAUGGAGGGGGAUAACUACUGGAAACGGUAGCUAAUACCGCAUAACGUCGCAAGACCAAAGUGGGGGACCUUCGGGCCUCAUGCCAUCAGAUGUGCCCAGAUGGGAUUAGCUAGUAGGUGGGGUAACGGCUCACCUAGGCGACGAUCCCUAGCUGGUCUGAGAGGAUGACCAGCCACACUGGAACUGAGACACGGUCCAGACUCCUACGGGAGGCAGCAGUGGGGAAUAUUGCACAAUGGGCGCAAGCCUGAUGCAGCCAUGCCGCGUGUGUGAAGAAGGCCUUCGGGUUGUAAAGCACUUUCAGCGGGGAGGAAGGCGUUAAGGUUAAUAACCUUGGCGAUUGACGUUACCCGCAGAAGAAGCACCGGCUAACUCCGUGCCAGCAGCCGCGGUAAUACGGAGGGUGCAAGCGUUAAUCGGAAUUACUGGGCGUAAAGCGCACGCAGGCGGUCUGUCAAGUCGGAUGUGAAAUCCCCGGGCUCAACCUGGGAACUGCAUUCGAAACUGGCAGGCUAGAGUCUUGUAGAGGGGGGUAGAAUUCCAGGUGUAGCGGUGAAAUGCGUAGAGAUCUGGAGGAAUACCGGUGGCGAAGGCGGCCCCCUGGACAAAGACUGACGCUCAGGUGCGAAAGCGUGGGGAGCAAACAGGAUUAGAUACCCUGGUAGUCCACGCCGUAAACGAUGUCGAUUUGGAGGUUGUGCCCUUGAGGCGUGGCUUCCGGAGCUAACGCGUUAAAUCGACCGCCUGGGGAGUACGGCCGCAAGGUUAAAACUCAAAUGAAUUGACGGGGGCCCGCACAAGCGGUGGAGCAUGUGGUUUAAUUCGAUGCAACGCGAAGAACCUUACCUGGUCUUGACAUCCACAGAACUUUCCAGAGAUGGAUUGGUGCCUUCGGGAACUGUGAGACAGGUGCUGCAUGGCUGUCGUCAGCUCGUGUUGUGAAAUGUUGGGUUAAGUCCCGCAACGAGCGCAACCCUUAUCCUUUGUUGCCAGCGGUCCGGCCGGGAACUCAAAGGAGACUGCCAGUGAUAAACUGGAGGAAGGUGGGGAUGACGUCAAGUCAUCAUGGCCCUUACGACCAGGGCUACACACGUGCUACAAUGGCAUAUACAAAGAGAAGCGACCUCGCGAGAGCAAGCGGACCUCAUAAAGUAUGUCGUAGUCCGGAUUGGAGUCUGCAACUCGACUCCAUGAAGUCGGAAUCGCUAGUAAUCGUAGAUCAGAAUGCUACGGUGAAUACGUUCCCGGGCCUUGUACACACCGCCCGUCACACCAUGGGAGUGGGUUGCAAAAGAAGUAGGUAGCUUAACCUUCGGGA